CUGGAAGUUCUGACAGCGCCCUGAAGCCCAUUUGUCAUCUAAAUGGUCCGUCCCCUUCUUAAACAUCAUUUUGGCCCAAGGUCCAUUCAUGGGGCCUGCCGGGUGUUCCUGGGAAGAUGGGCAGAAAAUCCCAAGGCCACCAUUUAGUGCCAAUAAACAGAAGGCCUGGUUUCUUCAAAAGAAACACAAGAAAUUGUUUCCUGGUUUUGCCACAGAGAUUGGGUCACAGAGUGCCACCUAAAUGGUAUUACCAUAUUUGUGUUGUCGCCUCUUGGUUUGAAAUUUAUUCCUGGUAUGACUUGUGUCUCCCCUUGUUCCAUCUCUGACACCCAAGCCCAUGGGAUGACAACCCAGGCUGAGAUGUCCCAUGUGUCACAAAGGAGUCCUUCAGUAUUUCCAGGAAUAGUUGGAACCAGCACUCCAUCCCCUACCUGGACCUGGCACCCUCUCUACUCUUGUCAAUUCUACACUAAUCACAGGAAGAAGGUGGAAUUAGUCCAAGCUGGGUUUUCAGAAAUAACUUGUAGACAUGCAACAGAUGUUUAUAACCCUCAGAAGCGGAAGGAAACUUGGAAACCCUCUCUUUCGGUGACUUUUUUUCUAAUGAUUGUCUCUGCCAUGAAAUUCUAACUUCAAAUGAAAUCUUUGGCAGGAACCCAGGGCUGUUCUGUCAAGGUUCAGCUGCAGGACCAGAGCCCCUUCCACCUAACCCCCACUCCUAUCCUGAUGCUUCCUGAGGCACAUCUGCUGUGGUUUCUCACCAGAGAACAGUCUGCAAAAUCACUGCACCUUGUCCAACUCCAUUUUCCAACUGAGAAGACUUGGCCCAGAGAAGUGCACAGACUUGAGGGAAGUAACACAGCAAUCGGACAGACAGACAUCCCCAGAUAUACCUGCUACGGUCCUGGGAGAAAAUAGAGACCCAUCCCCAAAUACCAUCAUCCUCAUCAUUCUCUGUAGCCCAAUCAAAUGAUGCUCCAGGCCUGAGAUUUUAUCCAAUGAACACUCUGUACAUCUUUAAAAGAGAUAUGUACUUGUCUUAUUCCUCCUUUCCUUUCUUUAAAAAAAAACACAGGCCCCAGAUCCAGUCAUUCUAAAUAGGAAGGAAAAACAUAACCCACUGAGGCAAUGGAUGCUGUUUCUCUCCCUGCUCUGUGACUUUAGUUUGCCUUUAAAGCCCAUUUUCACCAUUUAUUGAUUUUAGUUUUCUACUUGUCUAUGAAUGACAACUUGAAUUAAGACAACGCAGGCUGAAAAGCCGCUAGGCAGUGCUAAAUGGACAAGCUACACUUCGUGGCAGGAUGUCUCAUGACCGUGCCACCUUCUGCCUAGCCCCAUUCUCUGGAGGAGCUGUGGGCAGACCGACCCCAGCCUGGCCGCCUGGCAUGGGGACUGGUUGCGUCAGAUCGGAGCUCUGAGAUAAGGGUGGGCCAGGGCAUGAUCAUCACCACUGCCAGCCUCGAAGCCUCUUUGCUGACCUGGAGGUGAUCUGUGUAUCAAAGGGGGCUGUGUAUUCAACAGCACUUCCAGAAGAGGCCAAAGAUCUGUCUCUACUUCAGCCUCCACUGGGCAGAAAACUAAGCCUAUUUGCUCUAGGCCCUUCAGACUUGCACUUGGAGAAAGAAAACUCACUAAGUCAGCCCUUAUGUAACUCCACUCUCCUCUCUUCCAAACCUCCUUGCUUUGGACAAAUAUUUGACAGAAAAUGCCCUUUUGCAACGCCUUAAAAGUUACAAAAAUGGUGCACCCUAUCCUUUAAUCUGUACUGUAAAUAAAAAAUAUUAACACAAA
rnacentral:lncRNA from 1 species